UCCUAACGACCUGGCGUCCAAUGCUCCGGCCAUUCCUUGAGGUUCAAGAAUUCAGGCCAAGAGAUUCCAACACAGUGCCUUGCACCAUGGAAGAGAUGGUGGAAUCCUCCAGUUGAUGGCUUUUAGCCAUACAUUGCUUCACGCCCAAGAAUGCACUUGUUUAUGGCAAAAGGAAAGUGACUUCCUAAGACCCAUUCUGGUCAACCACAUGCGUCUCACCCAUCGUAGCAGCCACUGAUUUGAGUUGGUUUUGUUAACCUCCCAUGACACGGUGUGUACAUAAGCUCUGUUUGCUAAGACAACACAGAGCCAGGGAUUUCUUCAGUGUUUACAGUAAGUGAUAAGAAAAUGAAGUACCACAAUCAAGUGCUCAGGCUCUCAACUCAGCUCCUCUCAGGUUACCAGGAAUUCUCAGUGGCAUUUCGUAGCUUCAGGAGUAUGCAUUCUUGAAAUAAACCUUGGCCUGCUGGAAACACAACCAAGGCUCUGUAACUGCCACAUUCCAGAACUGUAAAGCAAAGAUUGACACCCCUCCACCCCUAACACGACUCCUUUGAAUUGGUUUUUCUUUAUUUUUCCAAUCCAGCAACUAUUUCCUGACCAUCUGCUAUUGCAGGGCACCCUGCUUGGCCACUUGGCCCUGUAGAGGACACCAAGAAGUAGGAAACAUGGCCACUGCCUUUAGAAUAUUACAGACGGGCCAAAAUCAGUAGUCAAUCCGCAGGGUCCCCCAUGGGAGGAUUAGCUGGACCCUAGGACACUCCCAAGAGGAGUCUAUUCCAACAGUCAGUUAUGUACUUGAUUUUGAUUGUCCUUUUACUCUGAUGGCUUAGUUCAGUAUGACCUUUGGAGCUUCACUGUAUAAACUACAGUGCAGAUAUAAUUGGCCCUAUAUCCCAACUUUAACUAGCCUAUAAUACCUAGUGAUUACAGAAAAGUUACAUAUUUCAACAGAUUGCUUUCUCAUUUACAGAUCUUGGAUCGGUCAGAACAUAAUUGCUCAUAACAUACGCAGGCCGGUUUUUAGUUCUCAAAGUCAGAAUAUAUGGUCUAAUAUGUAAUUAUGAUAAAUGAUAACUUACAUAUAAGUUACUGUGCUACUAUAAAAUGGUACUUGGACCCUUCAGUUUUAAUAUACAUUAUGUGGUUGUCCAUCUCACUGGGGGAAAAAAAGCCACCAACUUUCUUUCUAAAACUUCUGCUCUUUAGGAUAUGAUGUUCACUGAGAGCUGCUUGACUAAGCAGCAGAACUCAAUUUCAGGCUGGAAAAUUCAGACUCCUCAGUGGUGAUCUUUUACAUUUUCUCCAAAAGAGAAAAAGGAGACAUGGCAGGAAGAAAUGAAUAAAUAAACGAACCAAAACAUGAGCUCCCAUGAAAAGACAGAGGAGGGCAUUAAAGAAAGAAGAGAAAAGGAAUGAACAGGAAAAAGACUGACUGCUAAGGAAAAGAAAAAAAUCUGACCAGUAGUCUGAUUUAGUAUAAUCCAUCGUGUCUUUGCUGGCAUACCCAAAAUAGGAUAUUCCACUUAGUUCCAAGCAAAUGACUCCAAACACCAAAAGCAACGAGUGACUCAGAACAUCAGUUGAAUGGGCUCUCACACCAGAUCCAAGUUAUUAAUAGAGUUGUUUCCUUUUCUGCUAAUAAUAGGUCAGAAUAUACAAUGAUGUUCCCCAGGGCCCCCCCCCAAUAUAUUUAGAAAUAGAGUGGAUUCUAUUUUAAUAUGGUACUUACUCUGCUCUUAUGAUUAUUUGUCAUAGUUAAGUACAAAGAGCAUUACAAAAGCACUUGCAAAUCUGUCGAAUCAUGAUGUUUAAAAGCAACGAGGUCUAAUUGUGGUGUGAUACAGAAGGAGUCAGGCAGUAAACCUGCUAAGGAGGAUGGUGCAUCUCAUGGUCUUCUCUUAGUACUUUUCCAGUCCUUAAGAAUUCAUUGUCAACACGCCCCUCUGUGGUCCCCUAUAUAGUGGUGGUCACACCUUGUUAGAUUCAACUUUAUUGGAUCUGUUCUUUAUUUCUCUACCAAUGCCUUUCUCACUUGACUUUGCUUGUAGUCCUUCACCACAUAAAAAUACCAGAACUAAUAAGACGAUUGGAUGAAAAAUGCAGAAUAAUAACCAUGUAAUAUGUAAUGUGCCACAAAUGUGGCGUACGCAUAUUAUGUAUUAUGGCAAAACCUUAGUAAUUGCCUCUCUGGUUUGAUUUUCAGCGGAGUAAAGGGAAAAAUUCUGAGGCUGUGCUAUCUUUUCCUCUAUUUUAUUAUUAUUAUUAUUAUUAUUAUUAUUAUUAUUACAAAUAUCCUUAUUGGUCAGGGAACCACAUAAAUCCAUCACUCCAGAUUUAUAGUUUGCAGAAUUUCUGGAAUUGGAAACUAACCUAAGGUGAAGCAUUUACCCCAACUCAGCUUUCCAUAGUUUUCAUACUUUUUUCAUCAGAAAUGAAUUUCAAGUUAACCUUUAGAUAAUAAGAAACAAGCGUUCCCUAUGAAAUUGUGGGGUAGCUAAACCCCAGGGUAGGGAGCGGUGUGACUCAGGGUGAGGACAUGGUGUUCUCAAUCAUCCCAUUAGCAGAUGACUUUACACACAAGUGGCUUUCUUGGGUCUCGGAGCUUCGCUGGGGCUUCCCUAACCCAGAGGAGAAGGAGACAACAUGAUCUGGGGUGGGGAGUAGACGGGGAGGAAAUAAUGCCUCAGCAAAAUUCUGGUAUGUUCCUAAUUCCUGCCUCCCCAGUUUUCUACCCACUAUGACUUCUGUCCCCCGACUGAAGUCUGAGGAGCACUGGAUCACAUGUCAAUCCUCAGACUUCCACAAAUUUCUAUUGAGGGUGUGCCUCCAGGGCCAGAGGUCACAGCCUGAGCAGCCCACGCCUUUGUCUACGGGUGAUUGAGUCCAGUGGAGGAGGGUGUGUUCGUCUUCUAGAGUUGCCACAGUGAAGUGCCACACACUGAGUGGUUUAAACAACAGAGAUGUCUUGUGUUACAGGCCUGGAGACUGAACGUCCAAAAUCAAGGUAUGGGCAGGGUUAGUUCCUUCUGAGGGCUGUGAGGGAGAAUUUGUUCCAUUCCUCUCUCCUGGCUUCUAGCAGCUGCCAAAUGGCGUUCUCCCUUAUCUUCACAGUCUCUUCUCUCUGAACAUGUGUGUCUCUAUGUCCAAAUCUCCCUUUUGUGCAGGGACUCCAGUCAUGCAGACUAGGGCCCAUUCUCAUGAUCUUAACUCCAUCAUCUGAAAAGAUCCUACUUCCAAAUAAGGUCAUGUUCCCAGGCACAGGGGGUCAGAACUUCAAUGUCUUAUGUUAGGGACACGAUGCUUGUUUGUCCAAAUGGAGAAAUAGUUUGGAGUCUCUGAUCCUCCAUAUUGAACUUCAUGGCAGAGAGGAUUCUGUGUUUUAAAGGAUUGGGUCUGAAUAGUUUUGUUUUUGACAGAUCUAGUUAGCUCAGGCUGCUAUAACAAAAUAACCACAGACUGGGUAGUUUAAACAGCAUUUAUUUAUCACAAUUUUGGAGCCCGUGGAGUCUUAGAUCAAGGUAGUGGCAGAUUUGGCUACUGGUGAGGACUCACUUCCUGGUUUGUUCUCUGUGUCCCCAGUGAAAACAAGAGCACUAAUCCAACCAUGAGGGCUCCACCCCCAUGACCUCACCUAGGUCCCACCUCCAAAUAUCAUCAUCUUGGUGAUUAGAGGUUCAAUAUGUGAAUUUGGGAAGUGGGGAGGAGGGCAGAAUCAUUCAUCCAUUGCAGUUUUCAUUGUUAUUAAGAGGAUCAGUGAAAAGCAGCGUGCUGAGGUCCUUCCCGGACACCCAUGGACUAGAUCCCUGUAAAUCACAAGGCUGCUCCCAUCAGUCAAACCUGUGAUCAGUUAACAGGGCCCUAAUAAUGGCUGGCCACGCAAUGUAAGUAACCCAUCAAAGACAGUCCUUUAUUAUUUAGUCAUGCAAACAGAGGCACAUGGUUCCCCAGCACGGCUGUUAACAGCCACCACUAGACUCUGGAGAACUGUUGGAUUUCUUCCCUGCUUUCGUGUGAUUCAUGGGCUGUGAUUGCUCCAUCUUUCUGGUCACCCGAUGUCAUGGAAUCCCUCCCGCUACCCCCACAGAAGCCUAUGACCUACUGCUAAUUUAGGAGAGGAAACCUACCCCUCCUCAGGCUGCCUCUUUUGCCGAGAAGAGAAAUCGUCAUCCCUUGAUGCCUUAAAAUGCACAUCUGCCCUUCAAAUAGGAGCAAAACCUCUAGGGCUGAAAAUUUUAAUUGAGUCUAAACAAAAUCCCUUGGAAAUGUAGAUCUCAUUGGUUCCAUAAUCAUCCAUGUAUUUUUAUAAAUAAAACCUGAGUGCUCCUUUAAAAUCGAAUGGCUAUUAGGAAGGAAGUCACUGAUGUCACUUGCUUUUCUUUUAAGUCAUCAAGAGCCUCCACUGCAUGGUUUCCUUAAACCAUAGGAAAAGAUCAGCUUUAUGCACCAUUUGUCAUCUUUUAGCAUAAUCCACAUUGGUGGGAAGGAGGAGACUGGUUAGAAAAAGAAAAAGACACAGUGUACAAGUAAUAAAAUCUGUACCAGAGAACAAGGUCCGUACCAAAGUGAUGUGGUUGACCACCCGUUGGCUUCUAGGAUGGAGAUUCCGGACCACUGAGCAACUGUGUUCCCUCUGCUUUGAGUCUGUCUGUCUGUUCUCAACCCCUGGCCUUGUGGUUUGUGGCUGAGCUAACUGCUGGGCCAGCACCAGGCCUCACCAGGGGCUAAAGGCACACACAGCUUAGCUUCCACCCCACCAGAGGGAGAGGAGAGCUGGUAUUUCCCAGAGCAGCCUCUGGAAUUCAGCACUGUCUCUAAACAGGAAGAAGAGAUGUUUACAACUGCUGUCUGCUUUGGGGGCUGGGGUGUUUGGUAAGAGCGGAAUUCUAAAUUUGAUGCAGAAAACAAUCACCUGAUAUUUAUAAUAAGAACUAAAUGUUUUCCUCUUCUUUCCAC
rnacentral:lncRNA from 1 species